rnacentral:lncRNA from 1 species
UAAUAAUACAGAUUUUGAAACUGCUACAAAUAAUGUAUGAUCAUCUAAUACUUCCACCAUUUGGUUUUAAGGCUAAACCAUAAUUAUAUAACAGCUAUCCUGAUUAGUUGGGCUUCGGUUACUUAAGAGACGAUUUGAUUGGCUAUGAAUAGUCGGUUGUUGCGGUAUGUGAAUGUUACAGCCGACAGUCGGACAAGUCGUUCACGAUUACAAGUCGGGUCCGAUUCUCGAGUCGGGCGCAGUGUGAAUCCACCCUUAGCCGCGUGGAAACGCUUCGGUUUCCACUCCGGAGGAUUCGGGUUCGAGUCUCGUAUCUCACUAUUUGAAAUUUUUAUCAUGGGGUAUGGACUAGCCAUCAAUCCCCGUUCUCCACAAUCCGGCUGAGCUCUCCGCAAGGGUGGACAGUCAGUGGAAGGGUUUGUUUAACC